AUGCAAGAAGAUAAUUGGAUUCUGGUAAUCCUAUUCUACCCUCUAAUGAAUUUAUUUUUGGCUAUAAAAGGAAGAAUUGAAAGAAUUAGAAAACAACUUUUUGUGCUGAAUCAUUCUGCAAAAGCGCUGCUGAAAUUUCAUUGUAAAUUUUCUGUAAAAUUUUGUAAAAUUUUGUAUAGAAAAGAACUUUUGUUCGUUAACUUGCUAGCAAAGAACUGUUGUUCGCUAACUUGCUUUUAA